rnacentral:piRNA from 1 species
UAAAUCUUGCAACUGCACACUCUUCUGGUCA